rnacentral:misc_RNA from 1 species
UUUUUUUUUUUUUUUUAAUAAUUUAUUUAGGAAGUUUGACUUGGUUUGGGAUUCUUAAUUAGUGUUUGAUUAGUAUUUUCUUGUUUAGGAUUUCAAAUUCGAGCACUAGUAGGAUUCAUAAUUCUACUGUAAAUACCUAUGUCCUCUAGGUAUUUGGAUAGACCUUUUUAUGAUUGACAAUUGAUUCUGAGAAUUAAUAAAAAUUGACAAUUGUUCUCAUCCCCUUUGAGUGUUCUAUUGUGUUC